rnacentral:rRNA from 1 species
UACGGAGGGAGCUAGCGUUAUUCGGAAUUACUGGGCGUAAAGCGCACGUAGGCGGCUUUGUAAGUUAGAGGUGAAAGCCUGGAGCUCAACUCCAGAAUUGCCUUUAAGACUGCAUCGCUUGAAUCCAGGAGAGGUGAGUGGAAUUCCGAGUGUAGAGGUGAAAUUCGUAGAUAUUCGGGAAGAACACCAGUGGGCGAAGGCGACUUACUGG